CUAGCACUUUAUUGCAGAGCGCAUAGAUCGACGUUUUUCGCCUUAGGUUAUACCAAUAUAUUAUGAAAUAAUUAAAAAUAUUAACGACUAAAUAAUAUAUUUAAAGUCUCGAAUUACGUUUAUUGCACUUAAGAACUUACGAGGACGUUACAUAAUAUUAGAAUUUUAAUUUUUCUGCUAACAUGGCGGGCAUGGGGGACCGCAACAAGGAGGCGGACAACAGGGGUACGGACACGGACAUGGGCAAGGUUUUGGAGCCACCAUUGGGACGUAAUAGAGAAUACUAGGAGCGCACGGUUGGGCCAAGGGUGCAAUUGUAACAGCAGGUGGUGGGGUGCACGGUACGCAUGCUACUCCUGUUAGUGGACGACAACAGUCCGCCAUUCCUGUCCUUUUAGUAUAACUUUUGAAUUUUCACUAAUAAUUUUGAAGAUUUUUGGGCCGAAAGAGGAGAUAAUUUUUAUGUUUUUUUGACGUUUAUUUUUCAAUUAAUAUUGCUUUGGAUACUAAUGACAAUACAACAAUGUACCAGCUACUGGUACUUUGAUAGAUAUUAACGGUAUUUUUGAAGUUAUUUCAAAAUUUUUUGUGUAAAUUAGCAAUCAAAAUGCCAAACUGGGAUCCACCGCCACCUCCUUUCUGCCCUUGCGCUCCUGCUAUGGCUUCUCCAUGCUACCAGAUACCAUAUCCUUAUCCAGCUAUGAUGGGAGAAAUAAAAUAUGUGCUAAGGCGCGUGUGUCCGCCAUGUGGAGGCGUGGAGAUUCCAUUGCCUGACUAUAAUCCACCCAACUGCGAUUGGACCUGUAAUCCUGGACCAAAAACAUCGUGAGGAAAGAAUAUCGAAGCUUUGUGGUCGUCGAUUUAAGAAUUCUAAACUGAUAUAUUGAUUUUAAUAUAAUAAAACGUGUUGUCUCU